CUCCCUGAACAAAGAUGUGAGAAGAAGCCUGACCGCAGAUUCUCUCAUGUAUCAUCGAUACAACAGCAGACUUCAAUAUCCUCACACUGCCAGACUGCCUCAUCUGGCUCAGAAACAGAUUCCCUUCUGCUUUUGCUAGUGAAUGGUAGACUUGCACCCUCAGCUCCUUCCUGGAAGGACAAACAG